AGUAGAAUAACUGGGUCAAAUGAUGGUUCCAUUCCAGAUUUUCUGAGGAAUCCCCAUAUUGCUUUCUAGAGUGGUUGUACCAAUUUACAGUCCCACCAGCAAU
rnacentral:pre_miRNA from 1 species